AUGGCUGUCGUCAGCUCGUGUCGUGAGAUGUUGGUUAAGUCCCGCAACGAGCGCAACCCUUGUCUUAUGUUGCCAGCACGUGAUGGUGGGGACUCGUAAGAGACUGCCGGGGUCAACUCGGAGGAAGGUGGGGACGACGUCAAGUCAUCAUGCCCCUUAUGUCCAGGGCUUCACACAUGCUACAAUGGCCAGUACAGAGGGCUGCGAGACCGUGAGGUGGAGCGAAUCCCUUAAAGCUGGUCUCAGUUCGGAUCGGGGUCUGCAACUCGACCCCGUGAAGUCGGAGUCGCUAGUAAUCGCAGAUCAGCAACGCUGCGGUGAAUACGUUCCCGGGCCUU
rnacentral:rRNA from 1 species